rnacentral:rRNA from 1 species
GAUGAACGCUGGCGGCGUGCCUAAUACAUGCAAGUCGAGCGAACAGACGAGGAGCUUGCUCCUCUGACGUUAGCGGCGGACGGGUGAGUAACACGUGGAUAACCUACCUAUAAGACUGGGAUAACUUCGGGAAACCGGAGCUAAUACCGGAUAAUAUAUUGAACCGCAUGGUUCAAUAGUGAAAGACGGUUUUGCUGUCACUUAUAGAUGGAUCCGCGCCGCAUUAGCUAGUUGGUAAGGUAACGGCUUACCAAGGCAACGAUGCGUAGCCGACCUGAGAGGGUGAUCAGCCACACUGGAACUGAGACACGGUCCAGACUCCUACGGGAGGCAGCAGUGGGGAAUCUUGCGCAAUGGGCGAAAGCCUGAUGGAGCAACGCCGCGUGAGUGAUGAAGGUCUUCGGAUCGUAAAACUCUGUUAUUAGGGAAGAACAAAUGUGUAAGUAACUAUGCACGUCUUGACGGUACCUAAUCAGAAAGCAACGGCUAACUACGUG